AAGGAUUUGGACAGUAUGGCUCUCUAGUAGAGGUGGUAGUAGUACUGGGUGUUUUAUAGUUCCAAGAUUGGCUUAUCUAAUUCUUCUUUUUAGAAAACUGAUCUUUUGGAGAUUGGAUUCCAAAAUAUGCUUCCCUAUAAAAAUGUGACAGAAUCAGUUCAUAAUAUUCAGCUGCAACUAAAAAGAUAUUUCUUGUAGAUAUAAGUGAUUAAUUAGAAACCUUAUAGCCUUUUCAAAGUCUUUCUUCUGAUUGAAUAUAUGAGUUCGCCAUAUUUCAUUAAAUAGUAAAUAUUUUUCUAAAAAAAGUUAUGGAAUAAGACAAGAUGGAUAAUUUUGCUUUGUACCCUAAUUUUUAUUAAAUUUUAUAUUUUUAUCAAAGAAAUAUGGGUACAAGUGUUUUAGUUGAAUUGAAGAUUCAUAGUCCAGACUUUUUCCUGGCCAGUCUCCUUUUGUUAUUCUAUUAAAGCAUUUUGUUCUUAAUAUUUUAUUAUCAUCAAUAAC
rnacentral:lncRNA from 1 species